CACAUGCAAGUCGAGCGCCCCGCAAGGGGAGCGGCAGACGGGUGAGUAACGCGUGGGAAUCUACCCAUCUCUACGGAACAACUCCGGGAAACUGGAGCUAAUACCGUAUACGUCCUUCGGGGGAAAGAUUUAUCGGGNAUGGAUGAGCCCGCGUUGGAUUAGCUAGUUGGUGGGGUAAUGGCCUACCAAGGCGACAAUCCAUAUCUGGUCUGAGAGGAUGAUCAGCCACACUGGGACUGAGACACGGCCCAGACUCCUACGG
rnacentral:rRNA from 1 species